AACGAACGCUGGCGGCAGGCCUAACACAUGCAAGUCGAGCGCCCUUUCGGGGGAGCGGCGGUCUGGUGCGUAACGCGUGGGCAUAUUCCCUUCUCUACGGAAUAGCCUCGGGAGACUGAGAGUAAUACCGUAUACGCCCUGUGGGGGAAAGAUUUAUCGGGGAAGGAUUAGCCCGCGUUGGAUUAGGUAUUUGGUGGGGUAAUGGCCUACCAAGCCGACGAUCCAUAGCUGGUUUGAGAGGAUGAUCAGCCACACUGGGACUGAGACACGGCCCAGACUCCUACGGGAGGCAGCAGUGGGGAAUCUUAGACAAUGGGGGCAACCAUGAUCGAGCCAUGCCGCGUGAGUGAUGAAGGCCUUAGGGUUGUAAAGCUCUUUAAGCUGGGAAGAUAAUGACGGUACCAGCAGAAGAAGCCCCGGCUAACUCCGUG
rnacentral:rRNA from 1 species